CGAGAAGGUGACUUCGGUCACUGGACAGUGGCGCACGGGUGAGUAACGCGUGGGAACCUGCCCCGAGGUACGGAACAACGGCUGGAAACGGCCGCUAAUGCCGUAUGUGUCCUGAGGGAGAAAGAUUUAUCGCCUUGGGAGGGGCCCGCGUCCGAUUAGCUAGUUGGUGAGGUAAUGGCUCACCAAGGCGACGAUCGGUAGCUGGUCUGAGAGGAUGAUCAGCCACACUGGGACUGAGACACGGCCCAGACUCCUACGGGAGGCAGCAGUGGGGAAUAUUGGACAAUGGGGGCAACCCUGAUCCAGCAAUGCCGCGUGUGUGAUGAAGGCCUUAGGGUUGUAAAGCACUUUCACUGGUGAAGAUGAUGACGGUAGCCAGAGAAGAAGCCCCGGCUAACUCCGUGCCAGCAGCCGCGGUAAUACGGAGGGGGCAAGCGUUGUUCGGAAUUACUGGGCGUAAAGGGCGUGUAGGCGGCGGUCUUAGUCAGGCGUGAAAGCCCGGGGCUCAACCUCGGAAUAGCGCUUGAUACUGGAUUGCUUGAGACCGGAAGAGGGUAGUGGAAUUCCCAGUGUAGAGGUGAAAUUCGUAGAUAUUGGGAAGA
rnacentral:rRNA from 1 species